AGGGCGCAUGGCGGAUGCCUUGGCUCUCGGAGGCGAUGAAGGACGUGAUAAGCUGCGAUAAGCUUUGGGGAGGUGCAAAUGACCUUUGAUCCAGAGAUUUCCGAAUGGGACAACCCAAUAUCUUGAAGAGGUAUUAUCCAACUUUGUUGGAGGCUAACGCAGGGAACUGAAACAUCUUAGUACCUGCAGGAAAAGAAAAUAAAUAAUGAUUCCCCUAGUAGUGGCGAGCGAACGGGGAUUAGCCCAAACCACCCAUGUUACGGCAUGUGUGGGGUUGUAGGACCACGCUCUCGCAAGACAGUUAUUGAGAAGAAACGACUGGAAAGUCGUGCCAUAGACGGUGAUAGCCCGGUAUUCUAAGGUAACCGAAGCGUAGUGGUAUCCUGAGUAGCGCGGAGCACGAGGAAUUCUGCGUGAACCAGCCGGGACCAUCCGGUAAGGCUAAAUACUCCCGAGAGACCGAUAGCGAACCAGUACUGUGAAGGAAAGGUGAAAAGCACUUCGAAUAGAAGAGUGAAAUAGUCCCUGAAACCAUGCGCCUACAAGCGGUCGGAGCAGCUUAAGUUGUGACGGCGUGCCUUUUGCAUAAUGAACCUACGAGUUACUUUUUCCGGCAAGGUUAAGCAUCUUGAGAUGUGGAUCCGAAGCGAAAGCGAGUCUGAACAGGGCGGAUAGUCGGAAGGAGUAGACGCGAAACCAAGUGAUCUACCCUUGGGCAGGUUGAAGGUUAGGUAACACUAACUGGAGGACCGAACCGAUAAGCGUUGAAAAGCUUCCGGAUGACCUGAGGGUGGGGGUGAAAGGCUAAUCAAACUUGGAGAUAGCUCGUACUCCCCGAAAUGCAUUUAGGUGCAGCCUUGCGGGUUACUGAUGUGAGGUAGAGCGACUGAUAAGAUGCGAGGGCUUCACCGCCUAUCAAGUCUUGAUAAACUCCGAAUGCGCAUUAGUUCUAUCUCAGGAGUGAGGGCAUGGGUGCUAAGGUCCAUGUCCUAAAGGAGAAGAAUCCAGACCAUCAGCUAAGGUCCCCAAAUAAACACUAAGUUGAACUAACGAAGUCAGAUUGCUAAGACAGCUAGGAUGUUGGCUUGGAAGCAGCCAUUCAUUUAAAGAGUGCGUAACAGCUCACUAGUCGAGGAGUUUGGCGUGGAUAAUAAUCGGGCAUUAAGUGUUUUACCGAAGCUAUGGGAUACGUAAGUAUCGGUAGGGGAGCAUUCCACUCAGCGUUGAAGGCGAAGCGUGAGCUUUACUGGAGCGUGUGGAAAAGCAAAUGUAGGUAUAAGUAACGAUAAAGGGGGUGAGAAACCCCCUCGCCGCAAGACUAAGGUUUCCUGAUCAACGCUAAUCGGAUCAGGGUUAGUCGGGUCCUAAGGCUCAGCCGAACGGUGAGGCCGAUGGCAGAACAGGUUAAUAUUCCUGUACUACCUAUAAGAGUGAUGUGGAGACGGAGGAGUGACAACGCCGCGGACUGACGGAAUAGUCCGUUAAAGGGUGUAGAUGUUGAUUAUCCCAGGCAAAUCCGGGAUAAGAGUCGAACCUGACAGUAUACCAAUUUCCCCGGAAAACGGUAAUAGUGCGUGUAAACAUACUCCCAAGAAAAUCCGCUAAACUUAAUCUUAUAGGUACCCGUACCGUAAACGGACACACGUAGUCGGGUUGAAUAUACUCAGGCGCUUGAGUGAAUCACGGUUAAGGAACUAGGCAAAUUGACCCUGUAACUUCGGGAUAAAGGGUCCCUACCCGGUGACGGGAGGGCGCAGAGAAUAGGUCCAGGCAACUGUUUAACAAAAACACAGGGCUGUGCAAAAUUGAAAGAUCACGUAUACAGCCUGACACCUGCCCGGUGCUGGAAGGUUAAGAGGAGAUGUCAUCGCAAGAGAAGCAUUGAAUUGAAGCCCCAGUAAACGGCGGCCGUAACUAUAACGGUCCUAAGGUAGCGAAAUUCCUUGUCGGGUAAGUUCCGACCUGCACGAAUGGUGUAAUGAUCUGGACGCUGUCUCAACCGUGAGCUCAGUGAAAUUGUAGUAUCGGUGAAGAUGCCGAUUACCCGCGAUGGGACGAAAAGACCCCGUGAACCUUUACUAUAGCUUAACAUUGAAUUUGGGUAAUUGAUGUGUAGGAUAGGCCGGAGACUUUGAAGCAGGCACGCCAGUGUUUGUGGAGUCGCUGUUGAAAUACGGCCCUUUGGUUAUUUGAGUUCUAACUCGCUGAUGCGAGGACACUGUUUGGUGGGUAGUUUGACUGGGGUGGUCGCCUCCAAAAGCGUAACGGAGGCUUCU
rnacentral:rRNA from 1 species